UCCGGUGUGGUGUAAUGGUUAGCAUACUUGCCUUUCAAAGUCUAUGACAUGGAGCGCAGGGGAUCGGGGUUCAAUUCCCCGCACCGGAA